UGCAGUCGACGAUGAACCACUUCGGUGGGGAUUAGUGGCGAACGGGUGAGUAACAGGGGGCAAUCUGCCCUGCACUCUGGGACAAGCCCUGGAAACGGGGUCUAAUACCGGAUACUGAUCCUCUUGGGCAUCCUGGAUGAUCGAAAGCUCCGGCGGUGCAGGAUGAGCCCGCGGCCUAUCAGCUAGUUGGUGAGGUAAUGGCUCACCAAGGCGACGACGGGUAGCCGGCCUGAGAGGGCGACCGGCCACACUGGGACUGAGACACGGCCCAGACUCCUACGGGAGGCAGCAGUGGGGAAUAUUGCACAAUGGGCGAAAGCCUGAUGCAGCGACGCCGCGUGAGGGAUGACGGCCUUCGGGUUGUAAACCUCUUUCAGCAGGGAAGAAGCGAAAGUGACGGUACCUGCAGAAGAAGCGCCGGCUAACUACGUGCCAGCAGCCGCGGUAAUACGUAGGGCGCGAGCGUUGUCCGGAAUUAUUGGGCGUAAAGAGCUCGUAGGCGGCUUGUCACGUCGGUUGUGAAAGCCCGGGGCUUAACCCCGGGUCUGCAGUCGAUACGGGCAGGCUAGAGUUCGGUAGGGGAGAUCGGAAUUCCUGGUGUAGCGGUGAAAUGCGCAGAUAUCAGGAGGAACACCGGUGGCGAAGGCGGAUCUCUGGGCCGAUACUGACGCUGAGGAGCGAAAGCGUGGGGAGCGAACAGGAUUAGAUACCCUGGUAGUCCACGCCGUAAACGGUGGGCACUAGGUGUGGGCGACAUUCCACGUCGUCCGUGCCGCAGCUAACGCAUUAAGUG
rnacentral:rRNA from 1 species